rnacentral:lncRNA from 1 species
CUCAAAAAUCAAAAGAAAUCAGAAAAAGGGGGUACAUGAAAAAUUGCCACUUACCAUCAAACAAACACACAUUUUUGCUAAUACUGUUACAGAUUUCUAAAAAUAAUUGGCAAGGAAAUAUUUGCAGUUCCUAAGUACAUUACAGGAUUCUUAUAUUUAUUUAAUAAACAGUUUUAUUUUUUCCAUCGAAUCAUUUUGACUUUUUACUGGUG